rnacentral:rRNA from 1 species
UACGUAGGUGGCAAGCGUUGUCCGGAUUUACUGGGCGUAAAGAGCGCGUAGGCGGUCGGCUAAGUCGCGUGUGAAAGCCCCCGGCUCAACUGGGGAGGGUCACGCGAUACUGAUCGACUCGAAGGCAGGAGAGGGUAGUGGAAUUCCCGGUGUAGUGGUGAAAUGCGUAGAUAUCGGGAGGAACACCAGUGGCGAAGGCGACUACCUGGCCUGUUCUUGACGCUGAGGCGCGAAAGCUAGGGGAGCAAACGGG